UGGAGAACUGAGGGGGGCUGCUCCUAGUACGAGAGGACCGGAGUGGACGCAUCACUGGUGUUCGGGUUGUCAUGCCAAUGGCACUGCCCGGUAGCUAAAUGCGGAAGAGAUAAGUGCUGAAAGCAUCUAAGCACGAAACUUGCCCCGAGAUGAGUUCUCCCUGACCCUUUAAGGGUCCUGAAGGAACGUUGAAGACGACGACGUUGAUAGGCCGGGUGUGUAAGCGCAGCGAUGCGUUGAGCUAACCGGUACUAAUGAACCGUGAGGCUUAACCUUACAACGCCGAAGGUGUUU
rnacentral:rRNA from 1 species